rnacentral:rRNA from 1 species
CGGUGAAUACGUUCCCGGACCUUGCACACACCGCCCGUCAAGCCAUGGGAGCCGGGUGUACCUAAAGUCGGUAACCGCAAGGAGCUGCCUAGGGUAAAAUCGGUGACCGGGGCU